UACGAGGGGGGGCGAGCGUUGUUCGGAAUUAUUGGGCGUAAAGGGUGCGUAGGCGGUUCCGCAAGUCCUGUGUGAAAUCUUCGGGCUCAACUCGAAGUCUGCACGGGAAACUGCGGGGCUUGAGUGUGGGAGAGGUGAGUGGGAUUCCCGGUGUAGCGGUGAAAUGCGUAGAUAUCGGGAGGAACACCUGUGGCGAAAGCGGCUCACUGGACCAUAACUGACGCUGAUGCACGAAAGCGUGGGGAUCAAACAGG
rnacentral:rRNA from 1 species